rnacentral:rRNA from 1 species
UGGAGAAAAGCAGGGGAUCGAAAGACCUUGCGCUUUGGGAGCGGCCGAUGUCUGAUUAGCUAGUUGGUGGGGUAAAGGCCUACCAAGGCGACGAUCAGUAGUUGGUCUGAGAGGACGACCAGCCACACUGGGACUGAGACACGGCCCAGACUCCUACGGGAGGCAGCAGUGGGGAAUUUUGGACAAUGGGCGCAAGCCUGAUCCAGCAAUGCCGCGUGAGUGAAGAAGGCCUUCGGGUUGUAAAGCUCUUUCAGUCGAGAAGAAAAAGCUGCAGUGAAUAACUGUAGUUCAUGACGGUAUCGACAGAAGAAGCACCGGCUAACUACGUGCCAGCAGCCGCGGUAAUACGUAGGGUGCGAGCGUUAAUCGGAAUUACUGGGCGUAAAGGGUGCGCAGGCGGCUUUGUAAGUCAGAUGUGAAAUCCCCGGGCUUAACCUGGGAAUUGCGUUUGAAACUACAAGGCUAGA